AUUGAACGCUGGCGGCAGGCUUCACACAUGCAAGUCUAGCGCGCGGCGGCCGGGUGAGUCAUGUCUGGGAAACUGCCUGCUUGAGGGGGAUCACUACUGGAAACGGUAGCUACUACCGCAUACCCUCAGAUGUGCCCAGAUGGGAUUAGCUCGUGGGUGGGGUAAUGGGUCACCUAGGCGCCGAUCCCUAGCUGGUCUGAGAGGAUGCCCAGCCACACUGGAACUGAGACACGGUCCAGACUCCUACGGGAGGCAGCAGUGGGGAAUAUUGCACAAUGGGCGCAAGCCUGAUGCAGCCAUGCCGCGUGUGUGAAGAAGGCCUUCGGGUUGUAAAGCACUUUCAGCGAGGAGGCGUUACUCGCAGAAGAAGCACCGGCUAACUCCGUGCCAGCAGCCGCGGUAAUUC
rnacentral:rRNA from 1 species